UAACAGAGAGUGCCCACCACAUCACCAC
rnacentral:piRNA from 1 species